rnacentral:lncRNA from 1 species
UCAGGUUGACGCGAGCAGCACGAGUCCCACUUGAAGGUGGCGUCUUCUGAAAAGACGUGAAUGUCAACAAGGCCUAGGGCAACACAAAAGCUUUUGGUCUUCCAUCAUAUCUUCUAACUGGUUGUUGCUUAUGACCUACACACAGCGGUUAAACUGUCAAUGAAAGAGAAGAAAAGAAAAUCAGUGCCCACUCAGAGGGAAACAGCCAUGGGAACUUUGACUUCUGGACUGAGCUGAAGAUUGUGUAAAAUGUGGAACACAAAGUUAGGAUACAAAAUGUAUUAAAAAUAGAUGUUAUGAAUCAGCAAUAAAGUUUACCCAAGGCAUUCAUUUCUUUAAUGGUUGCUCAGAAAACAC